rnacentral:rRNA from 1 species
GAUGAACGCUAGCGGCAGGCUUAAUACAUGCAAGUCGAGGGGCAGCAUAGGGUAGCAAUACUCUGAUGGCGACCGGCAAACGGGUGAGUAACGCGUAUGCAACCUACCCUGUACAGGGGGAUAACCCGGAGAAAUUCGGACUAAUAUCCCGUAAUAAUAUCCGGAGGCAUCUUUGGAUAUUUAAAGUUCCGACGGUACGGGAUGGGCAUGCGUAACAUUAACUGGUUGGUAAGGUAACGGCUUACCAAGGCUAUGAUGUUUAGGGGUCCUGAGAGGGUGGUCCCCCACACUGGUACUGAGACACGGACCAGACUCCUACGGGAGGCAGCAGUGAGGAAUAUUGGUCAAUGGGCGCAAGCCUGAACCAGCCAUCCCGCGUGCAGGAAGACGGCCCUAUGGGUUGUAAACUGCUUUUCCAGGGAGAGAAACUUACGCACGUGUUGCGUGACUGACGGUACCCUGGGAAUAAGCAUCGGCUAACUCCGUG